rnacentral:rRNA from 1 species
AGAAAUCGUUAAGGGCGUAUGGCGGAUGCCUAGGCUUUCAGAGGCGACGAAGGACGUGGUAAGCUGCGAAAAGCUGCGGGGAUUGGCACACACGAAUUGAUCCGCAGAUGUCCGAAUGGGGCAACCCGGCAUGUUGAAGACAUGUCACUCCGCAAGGAGAGCAAACCAGGAGAACUGAAACAUCUAAGUACCCUGAGGAAAAGAAAUCGAAGAGAUUCCGUAAGUAGUGGCGAGCGAACGCGGAUUAGCCCAAAAGUCUUUAUAUAUUUAAUAGAAUGUUCUGGAAAGAACAGCCAUAGAGGGUGAUAGCCCCGUAUAUGAAAGGUAUAUUAAGAUGAUAAAUGAGUAGGGCGGGACACGUGAAAUCCUGUCUGAAUAUGGGGGGACCAUCCUCCAAGGCUAAAUACUCCUGAAAGACCGAUAGUGAACAAGUACUGUGAAGGAAAGGUGAAAAGCACUUCGAAUAGAAGGGUGAAAUAGAACCUGAAACCGUACGCCUACAAGCGGUCGGAGCCCACAAGUUGGGUGACGGCGUGCCUUUUGCAUAAUGAGCCUACGAGUUAAUGUUACUAGCGAGGUUAAGGACUUCAGGUCCGGAGCCGGAGCGAAAGCGAGUCUGAAUAGGGCGCUUAGUUAGUAGUAUUAGACGCGAAACCUUGUGAUCUACCCAUGGGCAGGUUGAAGCUUUGGUAACACAAAGUGGAGGACCGAACCGGUUGACGUUGAAAAGUCUUCGGAUGACCUGUGGGUAGGGGUGAAAGGCCAAUCAAACUGGGAGAUAGCUCGUACUCCCCGAAAUGCAUUUAGGUGCAGCGUCGUGUAUAAGUUUAUUAGAGGUAGAGCUACUGAUUGGAUGCGGGGGAGUCAAAUCCUACCAAUUCCUGACAAACUCCGAAUGCUAAUAAAUGUUCCACGGCAGUGAGGGCGCGGGUGCUAAGGUCCGUGUCCGAGAGGGAAAGAACCCAGACCAACAGCUAAGGUCCCCAAAUAUAUGUUAAGUUGAAGCAACGCGGUUGGACUGCAUUGACAGCUAGGAUGUUGGCUUGGAAGCAGCCAUUCAUUUAAAGAGUGCGUAACAGCUCACUAGUCGAGCGGUCCGGCAUGGAUAAUAAUCGGGCAUAAACAUAUUACCGAAGCUAUGGAUUUACA